rnacentral:rRNA from 1 species
AUGGUAGGAUAGAGGCCUACCAUGGUUUUAACGGGUAACGGGGAAUUAGGGUUCGAUUCCGGAGAGGGAGCCUGAGAAACGGCUACCACAUCCAAGGAAGGCAGCAGGCGCGCAAAUUACCCAAUCCCGACACGGGGAGGUAGUGACAAUAAAUAACAAUAUGGGGCUCUUACGAGUCUUGUAAUUGGAAUGAGUACAAUUUAAAUCUCUUAACGAGGAACAAUUGGAGGGCAAGUCUGGUGCCAGCAGCCGCGGUAAUUCCAGCUCCAAUAGCGUAUAUUAAAGUUGUUGCAGUUAAAAAGCUCGUAGUUGAAUUUCGGGAUUUAUCCGUCGGUCGGGCUUUUGGGUCUGUACUGGCGUGAUGGAUUCCUACCUUCUGAAUAACCGGCAUGUCAUUAAUUUGGUGCGCCGGGGAAGCAGGACUGUUACCUUGAAAAAAUUAGAGUGCUUAAAGCAGGCUUAUGCCUGAAUACAUUAGCAUGGAAUAAUGAAAUAGGACGGCAUGGUUCUAUUUUGUUGGUUUCUAGGAUCACCGUAAUGAUUAAUAGGGAUAGUUGGGGGCAUUAGUAUUCAAUUGUCAGAGGUGAAAUUCUUGGAUUUAUUGAAGACUAACUUCUGCGAAAGCAUUUGCCAAGGAUGUUUUCAUUAAUCAAGAACGAAAGUUAGGGGAUCGAAGACGAUCAGAUACCGUCGUAGUCUUAACCAUAAACUAUGCCGACUAGGGAUCGGACGAUGUUAAAUUUUUAAUGACUCGUUCGGCGCCUUACGGGAAACCAAAGUGUUU